rnacentral:rRNA from 1 species
CAGUCGCCGCGGUAAUACAGAGGGUGCGAGCGUUAAUCGGAUUUACUGGGAGUAAAGCGUGCGUAGGCGGCUAAUUGAGUCGGAUGUGAAAUCCCCGAGCUUAACUUGGGAAUUGCAUUCGAUACUGGUUAGCUAGAGUGUGGGAGAGGAUGGUAGAAUUCCAGGUGUAGCGGUGAAAUGCGUAGAGAUCUGGAGGAAUACCGAUGGCGAAGGCAGCCAUCUGGCCUAACACUGACGCUGAGGUACGAAAGCAUGGGGAGCAAACAGGAUUAGAUACCCCUGUAGUCCCUGUCUCUUAUAC